UACGGAGGGUGCGAGCGUUGUCCGGAAUCACUGGGCGUAAAGGGCGCGUAGGCGGCUCAAGCAGCGUGUGGUGAAAGCUCGGGGCUCAACCCCGAGUCGGCCGUGCGAACUCUUGGGCUGGAGUGCUGUAGAGGCGGGCGGAAUUCCGGGUGUAGCGGUGGAAUGCGUAGAGAUCCGGAAGAACACCGGUGGCGAAGGCGGCCUGCUGGGCAGUGGCUGACGCUGAGGCGCGACAGCGUGGGGAGCAAACAGG
rnacentral:rRNA from 1 species